UACGUAGGGCGCAAGCGUUGUCCGGAAUUAUUGGGCGUAAAGAGCUCGUAGGCGGUCUGUCGCGUCUGCCGUGAAAACCCGAGGCUUAACCUCGUGGCUUGCGGUGGAUACGGGCAGACUAGAGGUAGGUAGGGGAGAAUGGAAUUCCCGGUGUAGCGGUGAAAUGCGUAGAGAUCCGGAGGAACACCAAAGGCGAAGGCAGUGUCCUGGGGAGUACCUGACGCUCAGGUGCGAAAGCCAGGGGAGCGAACGGG
rnacentral:rRNA from 1 species